UGCAGCCCGCAGAUCGGGGCGUGCCUCAACGUGGGCGGAGUUAAACGUUGAGCUCCGCCCACCUUGAACUAAACGUGGGCGGAGUUAAACGUUUAACUCCGCCCGCAUAGCGCAGUUGAACCGUUGAAGAAGAAGAAGAAUGUAUUAGAGAAGAAGAAGAAGUUUCCAAAAUGGAGGACAAUGCAGCCAGUCUCCAGUGGGUUCUGCUUCCUAUUUGUACCUGGACACUGGAUACUCUAUACUGAGGCCACAGGCUAGAGAGAUUUUCUUUCUAGAUCCCCUCUGUGGCAGCGGCUGGAGAGAUGAGAGUAGAGUCCAUCUAGUCAGGUUUUUAGAACACCUUCCAAGAUCCUCCCUGGACAGUGGUAGUUCUGUUUUAAACCACUUGUCCUUUGUUUGUUUAAUAAAUGCUUCUGUUUUUAUUUGAAUGCAUUAAAAUGUUCCAAACAAACAAAAACAAACAACAAAAGUGAGUGUUUGUGAGGGAUAGAAGUAAUUGUUACAUUAUUCUUAUUUAUUUUUACAUUAUUCUACGCAGAUGGAAACAGAACCAUAUGUUUUGUUUGUUCAAGCCCAUUACAAAAACGUUUGAUUUGAAGUUCCAGCCUCUUCCAACUUUGUUCCAAGUGUUGCUUUAAAAUGGUUUAUUGUACUUUUAUUUACUCUUUGACCAGGCACAUUGCUCACAUCUCCUGGCCCUUGGAGGCAGCUUGGUGUGAAUGAUGUUCAGGAAAACAUGCUGCAGAUUAGAAGAUGGUGGUGUCUUGUUCUCCUGCAGAACUUCCCCAUGCCAUCUGAAGAAGAGAGAUUGCAGCAAAGAAAAAGGCAACAAGAGCAGAAAAAACUACAGGUGAGAGGUCAUGUGAUAAAUUGGUAUAUAGUGAAACUAUUGCUCGAAGACUGAUCCCCACCACUUAUUUCAGUAUGUGGCUGAAGUCCCCCUGAAAAUGUUUAGGCUUUCAGAAUCUGCCACUGAAGCAUCAGGUAUUGUUCCAGCCAGCAUUGUCUCACACAUAUCCAUCAAGGUUGUUGAGGUUCGAUGUCACAGAGCAGUCAUUAUUUCUCUGUGUACUUAAAAUCAACCACUUAAAUCUUGCAUUGUCAUUGUGCCUGUAGACACCACAAUCUGUUUCCUUUCUAGAUGAGGCUGAGAACAGGACUGGGAACAGGAAACGGGGUAUAUUGCCUGAGAUGGGUAGUCUAAUUUCAGUGUUUUCUGCAAUCUCCGAGCCUUUACUUAAAUAACUGUUUUCUUUAUUUUUGUUUAGGAGAAUCCUUUGAUCAGGGAUGCAAUGGCGGCAGCCUGGUGGUGUGGGACCAGAACUUUCAAGGGAAAAAUUUCCCUUCCCCAAGUUGUUACCAUGGCCAAGGAGCAACGCGUGAGGGCAGUGGAACUCCUUUAUGUCUGUGAUGACCAGGAAGAAGAGGAGACCGCUGAUCUCAGAGAACCGUUCCUUUUUCUUUUUAGUCUGCAGGAAGACUAUGAGACAUUCUGUCAAGAAAUCAUUGACAGGAGAAACAUGAAGGUGUUUUGUGCUUUUGACAGAAAAGAAUAAAGUUGUGUUCAACGGUG